GGUAGGUGAUGACUUUGUCCUUAAAACUCAGGCUUUGCAUAAAAAGAAUGAAAUAAUGUCUUUUGCAGCAAUAUCAACGUAACUAUAGGCCAUUAUCUUAAGUGAAAUAACUCAGAAACAAAAAGUCAAAUACAGUAUGUUCUCACUUAUAAGUGGGAGCCAAGCUGUAGGUACACAUAGACAUACUGAGUGGAAUAAUAAACAUUGGAGACUCCAAAAGGUGGGAGGAUGGGAGAGGGUGAGGAGUGAAAAACUACCUACUGGGUACAAUGUUCACUAUUUGGGUGAUGGGUACACUAAAAGCCCAGACUUCACCACAAUGCAAUAUCCAUGUAACUAAACUGCCCGUGAUCCCCCUAUAUCUAUAACAAAAUUUAAAAAGGCAAAUAUAAGCAUUCUUUCUUUU
rnacentral:lncRNA from 1 species